GCAGUCGUAACAAGGUAACCAGAGCUUGCUCUCGGGUGACGAGCGGCGGACGGGUGAGUAAUGUCUGGGAAACUGCCUGAUGGAGGGGGAUAACUACUGGAAACGGUAGCUAAUACCGCAUAACGUCGCAAGACCAAAGUGGGGGACCUUCGGGCCUCAUGCCAUCAGAUGUGCCCAGAUGGGAUUAGCUAGUAGGUGGGGUAACGGCUCACCUAGGCGACGAUCCCUAGCUGGUCUGAGAGGAUGACCAGCCACACUGGAACUGAGACACGGUCCAGACUCCUACGGGAGGCAGCAGUGGGGAAUAUUGCACAAUGGGCGCAAGCCUGAUGCAGCCAUGCCGCGUGUGUGAAGAAGGCCUUCGGGUUGUAAAGCACUUUCAGCGGGGAGGAAGGCGAUAAGGUUAAUAACCUUGUCGAUUGACGUUACCCGCAGAAGAAGCACCGGCUAACUCCGUGCCAGCAGCCGCGGUAAUACGGAGGGUGCAAGCGUUAAUCGGAAUUACUGGGCGUAAAGCGCACGCAGGCGGUCUGUCAAGUCGGAUGUGAAAUCCCCGGGCUCAACCUGGGAACUGCAUUCGAAACUGGCAGGCUAGAGUCUUGUAGAGGGGGGUAGAAUUCCAGGUGUAGCGGUGAAAUGCGUAGAGAUCUGGAGGAAUACCGGUGGCGAAGGCGGCCCCCUGGACAAAGACUGACGC
rnacentral:rRNA from 1 species